GGUAGGUGUAGUAUUCUUAUUAUGAUUUUUUGUUGCUUGUAGUAUUACGAUUGUUUACUAGUCUUUGUUUACUCUUUUCCUGUAUGUGGCGUCUCUAUGUUUUGUCUUGUUCUAGGUUUUUUGGUAUGACUUUGAUUACUAUUCCUUGUCGUGAGCUGGGGGUCUAUCAGAAACAGCCUUGCUACUUCCCUGGGAGUAAUGGUAUGGACUGCGUAUAUCUUAUCCUCCCCAGACCUUACUAUGUAGGAAUACACUGGGUUUGUUGUUGUUUGUUGUUUGUAUAAUAUAUCAGGGACUUGAUCAUGGGUAUGUAAGCUCGCAGUCUUCUUGUCUUAACUCGAAUGCAAUGGCAUUAGUUUAUCUUGCCCCAUUGAUCUGAUCAAUCUUCAGUUCCAGAUUAUCUUUAUUCCAGAAUUAGAAACUGA
rnacentral:lncRNA from 1 species